rnacentral:rRNA from 1 species
UACGGGGGGAGCAAGCGUUGUUCGGAUUUACUGGGCGUAAAGGGCGCGUAGGCGGCCAGCACAAGUCAGUUGUGAAAUCUCCGAGCUUAACUCGGAAAGGUCAACUGAUACUGUGCGGCUAGAGUGCAGAAGGGGCAACUGGAAUUCUUGGUGUAGCGGUGAAAUGCGUAGAUAUCAAGAGGGACACCUGCGGCGAAGGCGGGUUGCUGGGCUGACACUGACGCUGAGGCGCGAAAGCUAGGGGAGCGAACGGG